UACGUAGGGGGGCAAGCGUUGUCCGGAUUUAUUGGGCGUAAAGAGCGUGUAGGCGGUCAGGUAGGUCCGUUGUGAAAACUCGAGGCUCAACCUCGAGACGCCGAUGGAAACCAUCUGACUAGAGUCCGGAAGAGGAGAGUGGAAUUCCUGGUGUAGCGGUGAAAUGCGCAGAUAUCAGGAAGAACACCCGUGGCGAAGGCGGCUCUCUGGGACGGUACUGACGCUGAGACGCGAAAGCGUGGGGAGCGAACAGG
rnacentral:rRNA from 1 species